rnacentral:rRNA from 1 species
CAAGCAGCGGAGCGUGUGGUUUAAUUCGUUGCUACACGAAGAACCUUACCUGGGUUUGACAUAUAGGUUGUAGGGAACUGAAAGGGACCGACCUUCGGGAGCCUAUACAGGUGUUGCAUGGCUGUCGUCAGCUCGUGUCGUGAGAUGUUCGGUUAAGUCCGCUAACGAGCGCAACCCUCGUCGUAUGUUAUAUGUGUCAUACGAGACUGCCGGUAAAAGACCGGAGGAAGGUGAGGAUGAUGUCAAGUCAGCAUGACCUUUAUAUCCAGGGCUACACACACGCUACAAUGGUCUGUACAAUGGGUAGCCAAGCCGCGAGGCGGAGCCAAUCCUGAAAGCAGGCCUCAGUUCAGAUUGCAGUCUGCAACUCGACUGCAUGAAGCCGGAGUUGCUAGUAACCGCAGGUCAGCAAUACUGCGGUGAAUACGUUCCCGGGUCUU